rnacentral:rRNA from 1 species
GACAGAGGGGGCAAGCGUUGCUCGGAAUUACUGGGCGUAAAGGGCGCGUAGGCGGGAUGGCAAGUCGGUCGUGAAAUCCCUCGGCUCAACCGAGGAACGUCGAUCGAUACUGCUGUUCUUGAGGAUUGCAGAGGAGACUGGAAUUCCCGGUGUAGCGGUGAAAUGUGUAGAGAUCGGGAGGAACACCGGUGGCGAAGGCGGUUCUCUGGGCCUGUACUGACGCUGAGGAGCGAAAGCGUGGGGAGCGAACAGG